UUCGUCUGUGCCGACUACCGAUGGGAGAAGCACAAGCUGAACCAUAUGAUAUUGACAAUCGGAAGAAUUUGGUCUCUGCCAACUACCGAAACGAGAAGUACAAGCCGAACCAGUGUUAUUAUUGAGGCACUUAAGGUGGAUAGUCUGCAGAGACUUUGUUCAUCACUGGAGCCAAUUUUUUGGAGAGUUGUUAGUGAAGAAGUGCAACGUGCAUUGGCAAAGUUGGGCCUUUGCCCAAAUUAAUGCAAGAUUUGGCUUCACAUAUCAGUGCUUAUGGUUUUGGUUUGCCCCUCUUUAUGAGGUUUAUGUUGGUUCUUCAAAAGUGAGGUCCAUCUUAGAUUUCAACAGCCUAAGCCGUUUUUUCUAUGAUUUUAUGAUACUUUGAUUUUCUAUAUUGUUAGGUAAUUUUUUGAAAGGUCGACCUUUAAUCUAUGAUGACUAGCUCCAAUAUCAAUACUCCUUUUUUAGUGGAAAAAAAAGACUACAAUUGAGUUGGGGAAAUUAAGGUAGAAUUAGAAUAUAAAUCCAGCUCUCAAUAAAUAAGGCAUAGGGACAAACAUUUGAUUGAAAGUUCAGAAGAUUUUAGCAAUAUUUAGGUAUCUUUAGCAUUUCCCAAUAGUAAUGUAGCUCCUUUAUAACAUUUAGAGUUGUUAUCUAUUGUUCCCAAUUAAAUACUUGCUUGGAAGCAAAUCCUUAAGGAUCCCUCAACAUAGGAGAAAUUUGAAUUGUCUUUGAAGACAGACAACUCAAAUACCCAAGCCAGAUAUUGGCUGUCAAAAGUGCAUCUCAAGUACCAUGCCCCUGGCGCUUCUAAAUCCAUCGGUGUUGCUUUGUUAGUUGAAGUUGCGGAAAUGGGUGAUCCAGAUGCUCAGUAUGAAUUAGGUCGUCAUUUAAGAGUUGAGGAAUGUGACUUGGGUUUCGUCUAUGAUUCCUUGUGCUUGCUUCCUGGGAAUGCUAGAUUAAGUUGUUGACAGAUUCAUUGUGCUUGCUUCCUGGGAAGGCUAGAUCACAACCACCCGUAAACAAGAUGCAAUAAAGACACAACCAGCAAAAAGGAAACUCAACUUCACUAAAGAUGGAGAAGAUGAAGACAAUUCCGAGCCCCAACAAACACACACUAAGAAAAAUUAAUUUACUCUACUCAAAUUAGUACACUUUAUCCAACUGUUUUCUUCUGGUGGUUGAUCAGGAUAGAUAGUCAGGUUUAGUUAGUGGUUUAUCUGUUUUUACUUACUUUUUUAUAUAU